rnacentral:lncRNA from 1 species
UCUAUAUUCCUCAUCGAUUGCAUGCUUUACAUUGAAAAUCUCAGGAAAUUUUUAUCAAAUUGCAAAGAAAAUUUACACAAAACUUCAAAAGUAAUUUUGAGACACUUCCAGAGUAAAUGAAUGAAUCAUCAAAUUUUGCUACAUGUCAAUGCAAUUACGUUGCUUACUCCUCUCAACGUCAAUCUCCAGUUCGUAAUAACACGAAGGGUUGGCUUUUUAUAACAUUUCAAUUUUUUCCGCCUUCUGGUCAACGAGAGCUCCACCAAUCGCGUGCUUUUAAUUCGCCAUCUACCAUACCGCGCUUGCGGUGGGAAAACUGCGGGCAAUGAAAAUUAAUGCUGCAUUAUUCCGUACUUUAGGAUGCGAGUUGUGGGACCUCUCCUGAAAUGAAUUGUUCAUAAUUUGCAAGAACACAGCCUCGUGUGUCGUAGACCUCAUGAAAUUUCGUGAAAUAUUUCACAAAAUGUCCGUCAUUUCAAAACGUCGCGGCUAAAAGAGCGUCAAAUUGAAAUUGGCGCGUUUAUACAAACAACGUUGAACCAACGACAGUGCACCAACGAUCUCCAUCAUGGCGGUCGCCUUGCGCUCCCCCACGUGUAUCAUUUGUUUUUAAUGUUAUUUUAAGCUUGUCUCAUCAAGUUUAAAUAAAAUAUUGGGUUUUCGAGGGCGGAAACGAUCGCGUUUAUAAUUCUAGGAAUUUUUAGCUGUUUCCUAACCAUCGUGCUUCACUUUAAAUUAGUCUGAUCCCUCCAGAAGUACAAGCAGUUAACCUGGUGUUUUGAACUCAUUCCCUGUCAUUAACAUUUUAAAAAUAUAUGUGAAAACCAUAUUUUUACCCUGUCAAAAUGAAACGAAAAUCUGUUGGUUCAGUUAAUACGCCCUCUAAAGUCAAAAAGGAAGGCAAAGAAAUUACAACACCAAAAUUGAAAGUGAAAGUUGAAGUUGAAGUGGCAACACCUGAAAAUCCCGUUAAAGCAGCAUCUGUAACUAAAACUUCAACAAAAAAGAAGAAUGGCCUGUCACCCAAACCUACUCCAACAAAACUUGUAAAAACUCCCUUGAAAGCUCCAAAGAGCAAUGGAAAAUUGAAACUUUCCCAGUCAGAAAAAGAACUGCCAAAGGGGCAAAAAAAGAAACACUUGAUUGUUGAAAAAAAAUCUGACAAAGAUUUGUUCUCCCUCAAUGGGAUGUCAAAAGAUUUGGAUGUUGUAGAAAAUAUCGAUGAGGAAGAAUUCCUAGAAUCAAGUUCUGAGGAUGAGUCAGAAAAAAGUGGUGAGAGUGAUGAUUCUCUUGCUGAAGAAGAAGAAGAAGAGGAAGAUGAUGAUGAAAAUAGUGAAACUGACGAAGAUUCUGAAUCAGACGAAUUAGUAGAUGAAAAACUAAUAGCUGAUGACAGCUCAGAUGAAGAAGCCGAGACAGAUACUAAAAAGAAAGAUUUUGGGUUCUCUUCUCUCCUAAUUUCAUCCUCAGAAUAUAUCAAGAAGAAAAAAUUUGAGAAAUAUAUCUCUAAGCAAGAUAUCAACAUUACUAGGUGCAUAAAUGUGUAUUCAAAUAAAUUUUUAGUCUGCUGUGAAACACGUGAACAAGCAAAAUCUCUAAUGGCCCCUGGUGUUAAACUGCAGAUCAAAGAAAUGCCAUUAACAGUUUCUAGGCUUCCAUUCUAUGUGGUUCUAGAGAAUCUUCCCAACUAUAUUUCAGCUGAUGAUGUGAAAAAAGCUGUAGCCAGUUGUAUUGAGCAGAACACAAUAAAAAACAUUAUUUUCCUGCAUAUAAACAAGUGUAUUGUUGAAUUUACAACGGAGCAAGCGUUUGAAAAGUUUACAAAAAAGGUGACUAAGCUGAACAUUAGUGGAAAAAUGGUGCGGUUAACUUCUUGGUUGGACAAACUGAUCUAUGAAUAUUCUGCUCGUUGCAUCAAAGUGACUCACCUGCCACCUAAAGCGACUGUUGAAAUUUUGUUCCGGAAGCUGUUGGAGUAUGGAAUUAAAAGUAAAGAAAUUUAUCAAAUUAAAUUCUUCACUCGAUCGGUUUGCUCAGUAUUUUUUGAAAGUGAGGAGACAGAGCAGAAGUUACUAGCAUUGGAUGGUAAAAUGCAGUUUGAGCGAGGACCUGUUUUCAUGAACUUGAGCACCCCUAAAGUUGUUUUACUAGGCCUUCCUCAGAAAGUUUCUGAAAAAUCAGUCAAGGCAAUGCUCAAAAGUCACAAAAUUGAUCCGUCCAAAAUUCAUUCUGUCAAAAUUGAGUGUAAUACUGCCUUGGUCGAGUUGAAAACAAAAGAAGAAGAGCAGAAAGUUUUAGAAUUGGAUAGGGCACUUGAAAUAGGAGGCAUAGCUAUCAAAAUACUUCCAUUGGCCGUUUCAAGGAAAAAUUAUAUCACAUUAGGUCUAUUUAAGCUAAACCCCAGUGUGACUAAAGCUGAUGUGUUAAAAGCCCUGGCAGACGAGGGUCAUAAUUUCGAUGAGGAUGAACUUAAUUUCGAGUUCAGUGAAAAAAAUAGCGUUGUAUUAUUCCAGAAUGGCAGUGAAGAACUCCACAAGAAACUUUCAGAGCUGACGAAACUCAAGAUAGGUGGAUCCUCCAUCAAAGUGACAUUCUGCAAAUUUGGCUCCAGGCACCCCAAUGACUGCGGUCAAAAGCGUAAGCGAGUUCAGAAGAAGAAAAAGAAGAAGAAAUCCAACAAAAAUAAGAAACAAAAGACUGAUGCUGCGGAGAGCGGUUGA